AUGGAUGAACUUAUGAAAUUGUUUGCUAAUAAGAGUGUUUCUUCUGAUCCUAAUGAUAUGCCUUUGUCUACCUUGAUUGAGAAUAAUAAUGAAUCUAUGGAUGUUAAUUUUGUUGGUAGGAAUAAUUUUGGUAACAACGCAUAUAGAGGAAACUUUAAUCCUAGGUCGUAUCCUAGUAAUUCCUCUAAUAAUUAUGGUAAUUCCUACAACAAUUCUUAUGGAAAUUUUAAUAAGAUGCCCUCUGAUUUUGAGACUAGUGUUAAGGAAUUUAUGAUCUCCCAAAAGAAUUUCAAUGCUUUGCUUGAAGAAAAAUUGCCUAAGAUUGAUGAAUUGGCUAGGAACGUUGAUAUAAUUUCUCUUGAUGUUGAUUAUUUGAAGCUUAGAUCUAUUCGACCUAAGCAUGGUAUCAAUGAGUGUCUCAAAGCCAUGAGAAUUUCCAUUGAUGAGUGCAAAGAAAGAACCGCUAGUAUGCGUGCUAAGAAAGAUUGCUUUGUGAAAGCGUGUUCUUCUAAUUUUUAUGAGAAUAAAGAUGAAGAUCUAAAAGUUAUUGAUGUGUCCCCUAUUAAAUCUUUGUUUUGCAAUAUGAAUCUUGAUAGUGAUGGGACUGGAGAUGAGUCAACUUUAGUUAGAAGGCGUCCCAAAAAUUCGGAGUUUUUAGAUCAUAAUGCAAAAAUUGGUAAAAGUGGGAUUGAAGAGGUCAAAACUUUAGAUAUCAAUGAACCCACUAUCUUGGAUUUCAAGGAAUUUAAUUAUGAUAAUUGCUCUUUGAUAUAUUGUAUUUCCUUGUUCCAAUCCGUGCUAAAUUCUCCUCAUGCUUAUAGUCAAAAUAAAGCUUUUACUAAACAUAUCGUUGAUGCUUUGAUGCAAUCUUAUGAAGAAAAACUUGAGUUGGAAGUUUCUAUCCCUAGGAAACUUUAUGAUGAAUGGGAGCCUACUAUUAAAAUUAAAAUUAAGGAUCAUGAAUGCUAUGCUUUGUGUGCUAGUGUUUCCACGAUUCCAAAAACUUUAUGUGAUUUGUUAUGUUUCUGUGAUUUUGAUGAUUGUUCUUUAAAUUUGCAUCUUGCGGAUUCCACCAUUAAGAAACCUAUGGGAAGAAUUAAUGAUGUUCUUAUUGUUGCAAAUAGGAACUAUGUGCCCGUAGAUUUUAUUGUUCUUGAUAUAGAUUCCAAUCCUUCAUGUCCUAUUAUUCCUGGUAGACCUUUCCUUAGAACGAUUGGUGCAAUUAUUGAUACGAAGGAAGGGAAUAUUAGAUUCCAAUUUCCAUUAAGGAAAGGCAUGGAACACUUCCCUAGAAAGAAAGUUAAAUUACCAUAUGAAUCUAUUAUGAGAGCCACUUAUGGAUUGCCUACAAAAGAUGGCAAUACCUAG
rnacentral:rRNA from 1 species